CCAGCAGGUAACCUAGUGAUUAGAGCGUUGGACUAGUAACCAGCAGGUAACCUAGUGAUUAGAGCGUUGGACUAGUAACCAGCAGGUAACCUAGUGGUUAGAGCGUUGGACUAGUAACCAGCAGGUAACCUAGUGAUUAGAGCGUUGGACUAGUAACCAGCAGGUAACCUAGUGAUUAGAGCGUUGGACUAGUAACCAGCAGGUAACCUAGUGAUUAGAGCGUUGGACUAGUAACCAGCAGGUAACCUAGUGAUUAGAGCGUUGGACUAGUAACCGGAAGGUUGCAAGAGCGAAUCCCUGAGCUGACAAGGUAAAAAAAAAAAUCUGUUGUUCUGCCCCCUGAACAAGACAGUUAACCCACUGUUCCUAGGCUGUCAUUGAAAAUAAGAAUUUGUUCUUAACUAACUUUUGCCUAGUUAAAUAAAAAUUAAUUGCGAAGAGCGAUGUACCAUUUACACUAUAUUGUUCCCCUUUAUCAGCUGACAUCGUCAUAGAAACUGAGAACACAUCCUGCCUAAAGCCAGAUCUGAUAGUAACUGAAGUCGUCAGGUACAGAUGAAUGUCCACAACUACAUGAUUCCUCUUUAGACACGUCCUUAGUAAAGACAGUAUUUCAUUGCUGUUACUACUAGUUCUAGCCUGCUUCUCAGCAGAGAGAGAGAGAGCUGUUUGAGGCCACAACUCUCUCUCUCUCUCUCUCUCUCUCUGUCUCUCUGUCUCUCUGUGUCUCUCUGUGUCUCUGUCUGUGUCUCUCUGUGUCUCUCUGUGUCUCUCUGUGUCUCUCUGUGUCUCUCUGUGUCUGGUAGCUAGAUGGAAAGACAUGGGACCUUUUCUCUACAAGACUCCAGUAGUCUGACAAGGUAUUUAUCAUAAGUGGGUACAGAACAUUCUGCUCUUGCAGAAGAAACACAUCCUUCAUCAGUCUCGGGCGACUAAUAUUUUACCUUUUUGAUUUUAGCACCAUUAAGCUGAAAUUACCCACAAGACAACAAGAGGUCUCUACCUCCAUAUCUCUUAAUGAUAACCUGCUCACAAGACAACAAGAGGUCUCUACCUCCAUAUCUCUUAAUGAUAACCUGCUCACAAGACAACAAGAGGUCUCUACCUCCAUAUCUCUUAAUGAUAACCUGCUCACAAGACAACAAGAGGUCUCUACCUCCAUAUCUCUUAAUGAUAACCUGCUCACAAGACAACAAGAGGUCUGGGAAGAGGUCUCUACCUCCAUAUCUCUUAACGACGGCCUGCGCAGCUUCUAUAACCACAGCGGGAGGGUGGUCCUGUGUCUUUGCGAGGAUUUGGUUUCCUAUGGUUACCAUGGCAGCAAGACGCUCUGUUACCUCAUGCUCCAUAAUGAUGUCAGCAGGUGACUGUGGUCCAGAAUGAAACCCUAGUUUCUGUAGUCCACUGCCCUGUUCCAAAGUAGUGGACUUUAAAAUGAAGUAGGGUGCCAUUUCAGAUAUAUACAAUACACUGAACUGUGUUCAUAAUAUCCACUACAGUAGACUGUGUUCAUAACAGUAGACUGUGUUCAUAACAGUAGACUGUGUUCAUAACAGUAGACUGUGUUCAUAACAGGAGACUGUGUUCAUAAUGUCCACUACAGUAGACUGUGUUCAUAACAGUAGACUGUGUUCAUAAUGUCCAGUACAGUAGACUGUGUUCAUAAUGUCCACUACAGUAGACUGUGUUCAUAACAGUAGACUUAGGACUUUACAGUAGACUGUGUUCAUAAUGUCCAGUACAGUAGACUGUGUUCAUAAUGUCCAGUACAGUAGACUGUGUUCAUAACAGUAGACUGUGUUCAUAAUGUCCAGUACAGUAGACUGUGUUCAUAAUGUCCAGUACAGUAGACUGUGUUCAUAAUGUCCAGUACAGUAGACUGUGUUCAUAAUGUCCACUACAGUAGACUGUGUUCAUAAUGUCCAGUACAGUAGACUGUGUUCAUAACAGUAGACUGUGUUCAUAACAGUAGACUGUGUUCAUAUGUGUCAACGAGGGCCUCUGAAGUCCAUACCAACGAUCACAUGAUAAUUCCUCUAUGCUCUAUUUGAGGAAUCCUGUAGGAAUGUUGCAGUCCUCCACCGUGUUAAGUUUGGUCGUCUUGAUCCUCGUUUGAUCACACAAGAUGUAGAAAACACUGCUGCUAGCAGAAAUCUGUGGCUGGACGUUUCCAUCCGGGGCAGAAAUCUGUGGCUGGACGUUUCCAUUUGAAGCAGAAAUCUGUGGCUGGAAGUUUCCAUUCGAAGCAGAAAUCUGUGGCUGGAAGUUUCCAUUCGAAGCAGAAAUCUGUGGCUGGAAGUUUCCAUCCGGGGCAGAAAUCUGUGGCUGGAAGUUUCCAUCCGGGGCAGAAAUCUGUGGCUGGAAGUUUCCAUCCAGGGCAGAAAUCUGUGGCUGGAAGUUUCCAUUUGAAGCAGAAAUCUGUGGCUGGAAGUUUCCAUCCGGGGCAGAAACAUGUGGCUGGAAGUUUCCAUUCGAAGCAGAAAUAUGUCUCCAAACUGUACUGUGAAGUAUCGUCUCUGAGACCAAGUGGUCUACGGGCUAAGCCAACAUACUGUAUGCUCUAGUAUCAACAUGGGGAAUACACAGUAUAUCUGAGGUGAUUCUUAUCGAAUGGUACAUUAUCCUCUAGCAUUACCCCCCCCUCCCCCUCCCCCUCCUCCCUUUAGAGUGGUAGAAUGAUUCCCAAUCAGAGUUGAAUCACUGAUUAAUUGAUCACCCUGUGUGUCUCUGUACCGCCCUGUAAACAUACCAACAGAACCUGCCUUCUAAAUGGGGUGGACGUGGGGUUGAAGCGUUGGUUUGCGGUAAGAGUAGAGUAACGAUAACGCUGUUCGUUCUUGGCCGAUGUCAUCACACCGGCUUUAACCCGGUACCUGCUUUGGAGGGGAAAAACAAGAACCCUUUUUUAGAGUCUAAAUGAUGUCUUCUAUAAUAUUGACGUAUAUUUGUCCCGGUAUGUACAGUAUAUACCACAGCUAGGCUGCCGUGGAACCAUAAUGUGUAUACGUCUCAAUGAAACUCAGUCACUAUGUUGAGGUAUUCCAGCAGUACAGUUCCCUGCUAACAUUAAUGUACAGUAUAUACCACAGCUAUGCUGCUGUGGAACCAUAAUGUGUAUACGUCUCAAUGAAACUCAGUCACUAUGUUGAGGUAUGUACAGCUCCCUGCUAACAUUAAUGUACAUAAUGCCAGAAAUGUACAGUUGUCCCUGGUCUGGUCUGAUGUGUCUCUCAGCUCCAUCUUACCUUUUUUUUUUUUUUUUAAU
ensembl:lncRNA